UAUAACUCGACUACACGUAAAAGGAGCAGUUCUGAAGUGGCUGAACCAGUAUUUCAGCAGCCUGAGCCAACACCUUAUGAUAGUGCUCAAGAACUUAAUGCACUGCAAGACCUUCUCAGGGACAUUCCUCCACAAGAGAAGGGCACUGUGCCACUAAGCUGGGCUGAACGGCAAGCUCAAAGCUCAGAGAAGUGGAAUGCUUCUAGAUCAGCCAUGGUUAAAAACAUAUUUCUCGCAGAGCACACAGACACCUAUAUCUGUGACAUCUGCCUGCAAAACACAUCUGUUGUGAGGUGCAGAGAUUGUUUGCCAAGACAGUUCCUGUGCAGUUCCUGCGAUACACAGAUACAUCAGCACAUCCUCCAUAACCGAGAAGCCAUGUUUGAGGGAUUCUAUCAACCCUUAGCCCCAAACAUGAUCAUUCAACUUCAAAAUGAUGGGUCACACCAGAUAAAGCAUGAAGUUCGACUGUUGCCGGUUCGUCUACCUCAACAGUGUACCUGUUCUCCCAGUCAGCUAAAGCUGACCUGUGGC